UUCCUCUUGAUUUGCUGACACAGGCUGUCACUUAGCAGUAAUAAAGCUGUCAAUGGUAUCAGCGACCAAUCUUUUAAUAUGGUAUCAGAAAGUCUGACAAGAGCAUAGGGGUGCCGGAUUUCCAAUGACAAGUUAAUUUAUUCAAAGCACUCUGAACAUUAUUUCCAUUCCUAUGGCACGCAAAUGAUGCCCAGCAAGGCUGGUGUCUGCUGGAUGGGAUGCAGACGGCGGAAGAAUUUGGCACGCGGUGAUCCUGUAGGUAUUCCAUGGGCUGAAAGCAGAAUUAACUCACUAGUGCGAGGGGAAGAUGCAGAUCCAUGCCCUUGUAUCCUCUCAGAGAUCUCCCCUAUUGCCAGAGGAAAAGCUCCAGCUGUAGUGCAGAGGCCUGGCAUCACUUUACCUCUUGGAGCACAUUAGAUUGUGUGAGAGGAUCAGCAUUGCUUCUGGUGGUGGUUUAAUUAUGGACAUUUGAGAAGCACAGUUUUCUGACUGCUUUGACCAAUCAUAAAGUCAGCACUUCAAAGGAAGAUCUUCAGAUUCUAGAUGUGACCUUUUCAUCUCAGCACAGCAAAGCCAAGGAAUCGGGAUACGAGACAGCUCCUGAAGCUAGGUGCUCACCCCGGGAAUGACAAAAUGGAUCCCACAGCCUCCUUCUGCAAUGGUGCCUUCUUCAACCAGUGAGGGGAAGAGGAAUGCCUAUGGUGCAAAGCUGAGAGUUCGGACCUCAUCCUGCGGACAGCGAUGGCAUGCACCAGAUUACUAUGAGACACCACAAGUCAUGUGAGACUACCUGCCUGCCCUUGUGGGGUUCUCAAAGGGAUUUGGUGAAGGUGGGUGCUAUUGCUCCUGUGUGGUACACAGAACUGAACUGUGAGGGAGAAUGAAAUAGCAAGUUGUUCUGAAAGUGUAUCCCUUGGCUAUCUGAUCAUCUCUGAAGACCUCAGGGAUUGGAUUUGAGAAGGCAUUGCUUAAUUAGCUCAUCAGACUCAUUGAACCUGGAAGGAAUUGGGUUUUAAUUCACUUUUCGUAAUAUGCUUUGCUUUUAUGAACCUUAUGUGAAGCACUCACUCUGUAAAUAAAUUAUAUUUGCCUUCUUUUUUCUUAUUCUCCCCACACUGGUCCCAUCUAAUACUCACUUGAGUUGCAUUUAAAAAGUGAAUAAUCACAAACAGGAAAGACCAAAGCUCUUUAGUUUAAACAAACCUUAUUCUGGAGCAGCAAAUAUAGUUUCCUCUCAAUGAAACAAGACUAAGCAGUCUUUGGAGGCAUUCUUAUUAAUGUAGGAAAAAGGUUAUUACAUCAUUACUUUCUGUCUGCCCUAGUAGCUAGGGACUACCUAAAGAUAGAAGGUUAACUCAAUGAUAUAUCAGUCAGGUAUCUGCAGCUGGGACUUAAGCGGAAUUCAAGGCACCUCUCCAGAGAGCAGUGAAAUACUGUGCAGAGAUAUCUCUGCUAAUGAUGUCUGAGAGAGUUUGGUUGUUGGAAGCAAGGCAGAAAAACAAGCAUGGCCGUAUUAUUGUAUGAUGAGGCUGCCUAGAGGCAGAGGAUUGCUCACUGCUGUUAGCCUCAGUCCUGGUAAGGGACUGUGCCCAUCAGGGAAACUUGUGAUGCUGAAGUACAUUGUCUGAGACAUCUGUUAUUGCCAGCAUAACUCUUUCAUACCUGUAAUUCACCACCUCUGAUGGAUUUAGUCAUUAGACUAUCCUUGCCAGCAGAGGGUUGCGCAGACUACGUGCUGCUGAAUUCUCUCCAGUAGCAGAUGGAACCAAUGCAGACAUUGAAAGGACAUCCAGCCCCCUAGCACCAGCCACCCAAGAGGGGCUGCUUGCUAGGCUUUAACUGGAGGAUGUGACUGAAAUAUGCUUCUUCUGCUCAAUCUGGAGCUGGGAUUUCAUAGAAUCUUAGAAUCAUUAAGGUUGGAAAAGACCACUCAAAUCAUCUAUUCCAACCGUCAAAUCAAUGACUGUAGCAUUUCUAAAAAAAGUACUGAAAUCUCCAGGCUACUGGAUAAAGCUAUGAUAUUUUGAGAGUUUACUCAAUAUUGUGUCAGGCUAUUAAAUACCAUUGCAGGAAGGACAGCCUUGUAUUCAGAGUACUCACCUGAGAAGUCAUGGAUCUGACAAUCUAACAGUAUUUGUUUGGUUUACACACAAAAUGGAAGAGCUUCAAGCAUAGAAAGAGAAAAAUCCACUGUAGAGUUUCUUAGACUCCCUGGGGAUUGUGGCAGGCAGUAUGCCUGAACACAGCACUUAAAAAUUCAAGGCUAAUGCUGCAUCCAGCCAUCUCCCUAUUACCCUGUGGGGUCUGCAUCUUUACGUUUAUUAAAAAUGACCCGAACCAAAGUGAAGUGAUUUGUUUCAGGUUAAGCAAAACAUCUCAUUCAAAUCAAAUGCAC
ensembl:lncRNA